AUUUGGGCCAGCCUGUUCCAUGGGGAACACUUCCUACUAUUUUGGCUAUUGAAUUUCUAGCCAUAGCUUUUGUAGAACACCAAAGGAGUAUGGAAAAAGAUUCAGAAAAGAAGAAGUACCCUGGUGGGGCUUUUGACCCAUUGGGCUACUCUAAAGACCCUGCUAAAUUUGAAGAACUCAAAGUCAAGGAAAUCAAGAAUGGUCGUCUUGCAUUGUUGGCAUUUGUGGGAUUUUGUGUACAACAAUCAGCAUAUCCAGGAACAGGACCAUUGGAGAACUUGGCAAC
rnacentral:misc_RNA from 1 species